rnacentral:lncRNA from 1 species
AAUUGGUUGCUAAACACUGCUCAAACUCACACACACUGGCUGAAAAGAGACAAAAGAAACUGACUGAAACUGACUCGGCAGGAUGUCGCAUCCUGGGCCUACUUAGUCUAUCAGACAUAGACAUCAGAGUCGAAGUAGUUCGGACUGGGGAGACAACACAUGCUCGCUAAGAUGUCGCAUCCUAUGCAUACGUAUCUUCUCGGACGAGAGAAGAAUCAGAGCAUUCGUAGCUCGGCU